UCGUGCUAGACGGGGAGUUAGCGGUGCCCUGAACCUGAAAUCCGCUUAUGCAGGGUUGAAUUCCUGUUUGAGGCGCCGUUUUUCAGAGUCCGGCUCCGGUAAGAGACGUUGAGGAUCGGGCUCUGCGCAAUGGAAACCUGUGAACCCCGCCAGGACCGGAAGGUAGCAACGGUAAGCGGGAAAUUCCAUGUGCCGCAGAUCUUACCUGGUCGGAGUUGGCUGCCGGAGUAACGUCUGGAGAGCGGUUGUCGAGAAGAGGUGCACGG
rnacentral:SRP_RNA from 1 species